rnacentral:rRNA from 1 species
UACGUAGGGUGCAAGCGUUAAUCGGAAUUACUGGGCGUAAAGCGUGCGCAGGCGGUUUUGUAAGUCUGUCGUGAAAUCCCCGGGCUCAACCUGGGAAUUGCGAUGGAGACUGCAAGGCUAGAAUCUGGCAGAGGGGGGUAGAAUUCCACGUGUAGCAGUGAAAUGCGUAGAUAUGUGGAGGAACACCGAUGGCGAAGGCAGCCCCCUGGGUCAAGAUUGACGCUACAUG